ACGCUGGCGGCGUGCCUAAUACAUGCAAGUAGAACGCUGAAGGAGGAGCUUGCUUCUCCGGAUGAGUUGCGAACGGGUGAGUAACGCGUAGGUAACCUGCCUGGUAGCGGGGGAUAACUAUUGGAAACGAUAGCUAAUACCGCAUAAGAGUAGAUGUUGCAUGACAUUUGCCUAAAAGGUGCAAUUGCAUCACUACCAGAUGGACCUGCGUUGUAUUAGCUAGUUGGUGGGGUAACGGCUCACCAAGGCGACGAUACAUAGCCGACCUGAGAGGGUGAUCGGCCACACUGGGACUGAGACACGGUCCAGACUCCUACGGGAGGCAGCAGUAGGGAAUCUUCGGCAAUGGACGGAAGUCUGACCGAGCAACGCCGCGUGAGUGAAGAAGGUUUUCGGAUCGUAAAGCUCUGUUGUAAGAGAAGAACGAGUGUGAGAGUGGAAAGUUCACACUGUGACGGUAUCUUACCAGAAAGGGACGGCUAACUACGUGCCAGCAGCCGCGGUAAUACGUAGGUCCCGAGCGUUGUCCGGAUUUAUUGGGCGUAAAGCGAGCGCAGGCGGUUAGAUAAGUCUGAAGUUAAAGGCUGUGGCUUAACCAUAGUACGCUUUGGAAACUGUUUAACUUGAGUGCAAGAGGGGAGAGUGGAAUCCCAUGUGUAGCGGUGAAAUGCGUAGAUAUAUGGAGGAACACCGGUGGCGAAAGCGGCUCUCUGGCUUGUAACUGACGCUGAGGCUCGAAAGCGUGGGGAGCAAACAGGAUUAGAUACCCUGGUAGUCCACGCCGUAAACGAUGAGUGCUAGGUGUUAGACCCUUUCCGGGGUUUAGUGCCGCAGCUAACGCAUUAAGCACUCCGCCUGGGGAGUACGACCGCAAGGUUGAAACUCAAAGGAAUUGACGGGGGCCCGCACA
rnacentral:rRNA from 1 species